rnacentral:rRNA from 1 species
UUGACGGGACCGCACAAGCGGUGGAUGAUGUGGUUUAACUCGAUGCAACGCGAAAACCUUACCCACCUUUGACAUGUACGGAAUCCUUUAGAGAUAGAGGAGUGCUCGAAAGAGAGCCGUAACACAGGUGCUGCAUGGCUGUCGUCAGCUCGUGUCGUGAGAUGUUGGGUUAAGUCCCGCAACGAGCGCAACCCUUGUCAUUAGUUGCUACAUUUGGUUGGGCACUCUAAUGAGACUGCCGGUGACAAGCCGGAGGAAGGUGGGGAUGACGUCAAGUCCUCAUGGCCCUUAUAGGUGGGGCUACACACGUCAUACAAUGGCUGGUACAAAGGGUUGCCAACCCGCGAGGGGGAGCUAAUCCCACAAAGCCAGUCGUAGUCCGGAUCGUAGUCUGCAACUCGACUACGUGAAGUCGGAAUCGCUAGUAAUCGUGGAUCAGAAUGUCACGGUGAAUACGUUCCCGGGUCUU